GGAAGUAAAGGUCGUAACAAGGUCUCCGUUGGUGAACCAGUGGAGGGAUCAUUACAGGACUCGCAAGACUCCUACAACCCUGUGAACUUAACUAUAAGCACGUUGCUUCGGCGGGUGUCUCGGAGGGGGUUCUCCCUCCCCGAGACGCUAAACCCGCCGGCAGCCUACUAUACUCUGUCUCUUUGCGUUGGCAUCUCGAGUACAAUCAAACAAGUUAAAACUUUCAACAACGGAUCUUUUGGUUCUG
rnacentral:misc_RNA from 1 species